GCACAAGCGGUGGAGCAUGUGGUUUAAUUCGAUGCAACGCGAAGAACCUUACCUACUCUUGACAUCCAGAGAACUUUCCAGAGAUGGAUUGGUGCCUUCGGGAACUCUGUGACAGGUGCUGCAUGGCUGUCGUCAGCUCGUGUUGUGAAAUGUUGGGUUAAGUCCCGCAACGAGCGCAACCCUUAUCCUUUGUUGCCAGCGGUUCGGCCGGGAACUCAAAGGAGACUGCCAGUGAUAAACUGGAGGAAGGUGGGGAUGACGUCAAGUCAUCAUGGCCCUUACGAGUAGGGCUACACACGUGCUACAAUGGCGCAUACAAAGAGAAGCGACCUCGCGAGAGCAAGCGGACCUCAUAAAGUGCGUCGUAGUCCGGAUUGGAGUCUGCAACUCGACUCCAUGAAGUCGGAAUCGCUAGUAAUCGUAGAUCAGAAUACUACGGUGAAUACGUUCCCGGGCCUUGUACACACCGCCCGUCACACCAUGGGAGUGGGUUGCAAAAGAAGUAGGUAGCUUAACCUUCGGGAGGGCGCUUACCACUUUGUGAUUCAUGACUGGGGUG
rnacentral:rRNA from 1 species